UACAGAGGUCUCAAGCGUUGUUCGGAUUCAUUGGGCGUAAAGGGUGCGUAGGCGGCGCGGUAAGUCGGGUGUGAAAUCUCGGGGCUUAACUCCGAAACUGCAUUCGAUACUGCCGUGCUUGAGGACUGGAGAGGAGACUGGAAUUUACGGUGUAGCGGUGAAAUGCGUAGAUAUCCGAAAGAACACCGGUGGCGAAGGCGGUGGUCUGGGCCUGAACUGACGCUGAGGAGCGAAAGCCAGGGGAGCAAGCAGG
rnacentral:rRNA from 1 species